GUGCUCAUUUGGGGAGCAUAUAUACUAAAAUUGGGAUGAUACAGAGAAGAUUAGCAUGUGAAUGCCCCAUGUGCAGGGUCCAUUCCCAAAUUUAUGAAGGGUUUCAUUUGAGA
ensembl:snRNA U6 U6 spliceosomal RNA